UGCUGUGCCCUCGGCCGGGAAUGCUUCCCCGCAUCUCAGCCUGUGAAAGUCCUGACACCCCUUGAGCCCAGCCCGCUGGUCCUUCCGGCUACCCCCACCCCCUGCCUGGCCCUGCAGCCUCCUGCAGUGGGCCUGGAUUUGGAGGGACUGGCGUCUGCGGCUCGCUUCCCUAAAGGAGGCUGUGCGCCCGGGCGGCUCUGAUGGCAUUCACGGACGCGCAUCUGCACACUCCUUGCCACUCUAUGGGCCAGAAGACCCUUGACUUCCUGCCCAGCAAGAGCCCUAUUCCCUCACCUCCUUCAAAGUUCCUUGGCUGCGGCUGGCUCCGGCCUCCUGGCUCAGACCCUCCAGUCCUGGCUUCUCAAAGUCAUUCAGAUUGGGACCCCUGAUUCAGCCAGCCCUGGCUGCCCAGCAGGUGAUGAGUUCAAAAGACACCAAGUCCUCUGAGGAAUGGUUGAAGGAACUGAAGGAGAGAAGACUGAGGGGGCCUGAGGUUUUGUCUUCAGCCCUUUGAGAGGCUGUCACGAGGCAGAGGAAGCGGACGUGCUCUGCAUGGUCCUGGGAGUAGAGCUAAACCUGCCCCCUGCUGGUAUUUUCACUGUUAUCACAUGGAGUUAUCCCAACAGCCAUUUGAGGUAAAGAGUAUUUUCCCCAUUUUACAGAUGAGGAAACCGAGGCCCAGAGCCACACAGCUAGGAAAUGGUGAAGCUGCCUUUCAAAGCCAGGUCAGCUGGCAUCAAAUGUAGCAUUCUCCACAUCCCGCUGCCCUGGCCACUGGGCGAAGGCACCCGUCUCGAACUGCAACCUCUGGCAGCUGAUCCUGGGAGGCUGGAUUCGAACAAGACCACCUUGAAUCCUGGGAAGCUGGAUGGAACCCUGGCUCCUGCAACUUCUCUCCCCCAAAGAGGAAAUGACGUUCUCAGCCUCCUUCAGGCCUCAGCUGGAACUCCUGGUCUGCUCAGGGGACUCAGGAAUGAGCAGAGCCUCAGUGGCACUUAGGAAACCUGGCCUUUUGAGUUCAGCUUCAUCAUGGCCACCCCUUGUCCAGACCUGAAGGUCACACCCUUCCUCUGGCACCGGUGUCGGGUCUGGCCCCGCCCUUGUUCCAGAAGAGGUGGAUGUUUGCUCUUGAAGGGGCAGGAAGAAGCCAAGUGUCGCUGGAGUUAGGACGAGGAAUGGAACUUGGCUGAGCUGGCCCAGAACAAGAGCGCAGCACGGGAAGAGGAGAGGGCCAGCGAGAGGGGUGGGGCGAGACUGGGGAAGGCGGCUGGGGUAGGCGAGGCAGGGGUUUGGGCUUCACCUUGAGUCUACUGGAGAGAUAUUGCAGGUUGCUGAACAGGAGAAGGGAGAUGGCCCUGUCGGUAAUUUAUGAGAUCACUCUGUCAGCUGGGUGGAUUCUGGAUUGUAGAGGGGCCAGAGAGGAAGCAAGGAGACGGGUGAAGAGGCUUGGAUGCUGUUCAGGUGAGAGAUGGCGGGAGCUUGGCCAGGGCGGCGGCAGUGGAGAUGGGAGAAAGGGCAUAUUCAGGAUGUGGGAAAUGGGGCUUGGUGGUUGAUGACUGCAGGCAUGGCACAGAGGAAGGUGUCAAGGCGGAUCCCAGCUUGCACAGUUGGGUGGCCGGCGGGACCUGCUACUAGCAUAGGAAACACACGGGGGCAGUUUGGAGACGGGAUGAGUUCUGCGGGGCCACGUGGAACACAACACGCUCACGCAUCCUCCGGACUGAGGCAGCAGUCAGACAGUGGCAGGUCCCGCAGCUCAGAGGGCAGGUCUGGAGUGGAGCUAGAGGUGUGGGGACGGUCACGGAGGCCAUGGGAAGGGGUCACCUGGCCCAGAGCAGGACCACGGCAUGAGAAGAGGAGA